rnacentral:rRNA from 1 species
AACGUACGCUGGCGGCACGCCUAACACAUGCAAGUCGAACGAAGUAGCAAUACUUAGUGGCAGACGGGUGAGUAACAUGUAGGUAUCUGCCCUUUGGCCUGGAAUAACACGAGGAAACUUGUGCUAAUACCGGAUAAGUCUUUACGGAGAAAGCUUUAUGCACCAUUGGAUGAGCCUGCACUUGAUUAGUUUGUUGGUGGGGUAAUGGCCUACCAAGACUGUGAUCAAUAGCUGAUUUGAGAGGAUGAUCAGCCACAUUGGGACUGAGACACGGCCCAAACUCCUACGGGAGGCAGCAGUGGGGAAUCUUGCACAAUGGAGGAAACUCUGAUGCAGCGAUGCCGCGUGAGUGAAGAAGGCCCUUGGGUUGUAAAGCUCUUUCGUCGGGGAAGAAAAUGACUGUACCCGAAUAAGAAGGUCCGGCUAACUUCGUGCCAGCAGCCGCGGUAAUACGAAGGGACCUAGCGUAGUUCGGAAUUACUGGGCUUAAAGAGUUCGUAGGUGGUUGAAAAAGUUAGUGGUGAAAUCCCAGAGCUUAACUCUGGAACUGCCAUUAAAACUUUUCAGCUAGAGUAUGAUAGAGGAAAGCAGAAUUUCUAGUGUAGAGGUGAAAUUCGUAGAUAUUAGAAAGAAUACCAAUUGCGAAGGCAGCUUUCUGGAUCAUUACUGACACUGAGGAACGAAAGCAUGGGUAGCGAAGAGGAUUAGAUACCCUCGUAGUCCAUGCCGUAAACGAUGUGUGUUAGACGUUGGAAAUUUAUUUUCAGUGUCGCAGGGAAACCGAUAAACACACCGCCUGGGGAGUACGACCGCAAGGUUAAAACUCAAAUGAAUUGACGGGGACCCGCACAAGUAGUGGAGCAUGUGGUUUAAUUCGAAGAUACGCGCAGAACCUUACCAACACUUGACAUGUUCGUCGCGACUCUAAGAGAUUAGAGUUUUCGGUUCGGCCGGACGAAACACAGGUGCUGCAUGGCUGUCGUCAGCUCGUGUCGUGAGAUGUUGGGUUAAGUCCCGCAACGAGCGCAACCCUCACUUUUAGUUGCCAUCAUUAAGUUGGGCACUCUGAAAGAACUGCCAGUGAUAAGCUGGAGGAAGGUGGGGAUGACGUCAAGUCCUCAUGGCCCUUACGUGUUGGGCUACACACGUGCUACAAUGGUAUCUACAACAGGAAGCAAGACUGCGAAGUUAAGCAAAUCCCUAAAAGAUACCUCAGUUUGGAUUGCACUCUGCAACUCGAGUGCAUGAAGCUGGAAUUACUAGUAAUCGUGGAUCAGCGUGCCACGGUGAAUGCGUUCCCGGGUCU